rnacentral:rRNA from 1 species
AGGGUUUGAUCAUGGCUCAGAACGUACGCUGGCGGCACGCCUUAUACAUGCAAGUCGAACGAAGUAGCAAUACUUAGUGGCAGACGGGUGAGUAACAUGUGGGUAUCUUCCCUUUGGUGAGGAAUAACACGAGGAAACUUGUGCUAAUACCUCAUAAGUCUUUACGGAGAAAGCUUUAUGCGCCAAUGGAUGAGCCCGCACUUGAUUAGUUUGUUGGUGGGGUAAUAGCCUACCAAGACUUUGAUCAAUAGCUGAUUUGAGAGGAUGAUCAGCCACAUUGGGACUGAGACACGGCCCAAACUCCUACGGGAGGCAGCAGUAGGGAAUCUUGCACAAUGGAGGAAACUCUGAUGCAGCGAUGCCGCGUGAGUGAAGAAGGCCUUUGGGUUGUAAAGCUCUUUCGUCGGGGAAGAAAAUGACUGUACCCGAAUAAGAAGGUCCGGCUAACUUCGUGCCAGCAGCCGCGGUAAUACGAAGGGACCUAGCGUAGUUCGGAAUUACUGGGCUUAAAGAGUUCGUAGGUGGUUAAAAAAGUUGGUGGUGAAAUCCCAGAGCUUAACUCUGGAACUGCCAUCAAAACUUUUUAGCUAGAGUAUGAUAGAGGAAAGCAGAAUUUCUAGUGUAGAGGUGAAAUUCGUAGAUAUUAGAAAGAAUACCAAUUGCGAAGGCAGCUUUCUGGAUCAUUACUGACACUGA